rnacentral:rRNA from 1 species
AUUGAACGCUGGCGGCAUGCUUUACACAUGCAAGUCGAACGGUAACGCGGGGCAGCCUGGCGACGAGUGGCGAACGGGAGAGUAAUGCAUCGGAACGUGCCCGGUAGUGGGGGAUAACUGCCCGAAAGAGCAGCUAAUACCGCAUACGACCUGAGGGUGAAAGGGGGGGAUCGCAAGACCUCUCGCUAUUGGAGCGGCCGAUGUCGGAUUAGCUAGUUGGUGGGGUAAGGGCCCACCAAGACGACGAUCCGUAGCUGGGCUGAGAGGACGACCAGCCACACUGGGACUGAGACACGGCCCAGACUCCUACGGGAGGCAGCAGUGGGGAAUUUUGGACAAUGGACGCAAGUCUGAUCCAGCCAUGCCGCGUGCGGGAAGAAGGCCUUCGGGUUGUAAACCGCUUUUGUCAGAGAAGAAAUCUUCUGGGUUAAUACCUCGGGAGGAUGACGGUAUCUGAAGAAUAAGCACCGGCUAACUACGUGCCAGCAGCCGCCGUAACAC